AGCGAACGCUGGCGGCGUGCCUAACACAUGCAAGUCGAGCGAAGGCAUGAGUGUAGCAAUACACUUAUGUACUUAGCGGCGGACGGGUGAGUAACACGUGGAUAAUCUGCCCUGAGGACCGGGACAACUCUUGGAAACGGGAGCUAAUACCGGAUGUGACCACGAUGCUUGAGGGCAGUUGGGGUAAAAGGGCGGCCUGCAAGGGCUAUUGCCUUGGGAUGAGUCACGACCCAUCAGGUAGUUGGGGGUAGAGCCACCAAG
rnacentral:rRNA from 1 species